rnacentral:rRNA from 1 species
AGUCGAACGGUGAACCGGUUUCGGCCGGGGAUCAGUGGCGAACGGGUGAGUAACACGUGGGCAACCUGCCCUGCACUCUGGGAUAAGCCCGGGAAACUGGGUCUAAUACCGGAUACGACUUCCCAUCGCAUGGUGGGGGGUGGAAAGUUCCGGCGGUGCAGGAUGGGCCCGCGGCCUAUCAGCUUGUUGGUGGGGUAAUGGCCUACCAAGGCGACGACGGGUAGCCGGCCUGAGAGGGCGACCGGCCACACUGGGACUGAGACACGGCCCAGACUCCUACGGGAGGCAGCAGUGGGGAAUAUUGCGCAAUGGGCGAAAGCCUGACGCAGCGACGCCGCGUGAGGGAUGACGGCCUUCGGGUUGUAAACCUCUUUCAGCAGGGAAGAAGCGCAAGUGACGGUACCUGCAGAAGAAGCACCGGCUAACUACGUGCCAGCAGCCGCGGUAAUACGUAGGGUGCGAGCGUUGUCCGGAAUUAUUGGGCGUAAAGAGCUCGUAGGCGGCUUGUCACGUCGGAUGUGAAAACCCGGGGCUCAACCCCGGGCCUGCAUUCGAUACGGGCAGGCUAGAGUUCGGCAGGGGAGACUGGAAUUCCUGGUGUAGCGGUGAAAUGCGCAGAUAUC